UAGUAUCAGCGUGUCAGCAGCCGCGGUAAUACGGAGGAUCCAAGCGUUAUCCGGAAUCAUUGGGUUUAAAGGGUCCGUAGGCGGUUUAGUAAGUCAGUGGUGAAAGCCCAUCGCUCAACGGUGGAACGGCCAUUGAUACUGCUGAACUUGAAUUAUUAGGAAGUAACUAGAAUAUGUAGUGUAGCGGUGAAAUGCUUAGAGAUUACAUGGAAUACCAAUUGCGAAGGCAGGUUACUACUAAUGGAUUGACGCUGAUGGACGAAAGCGUGGGUAGCGAACAGGAUUAGAUACCCUGGUAGUCCACGCCGUAAACGAUGGAUACUAGCUGUUGGGGGCAACUUCAGUGGCUAAGCGAAAGUGAUAAGUAUCCCACCU
rnacentral:rRNA from 1 species